rnacentral:rRNA from 1 species
ACGGAGGGUGCAAGCGUUAUCCGGAUUCACUGGGUUUAAAGGGUGCGUAGGAGGGCAGGUAAGUCAGUGGUGAAAUCUCCAAGCUUAACUUGGAAACUGCCGUUGAUACUAUCUGUCUUGAAUAUUGUGGAGGUGAGCGGAAUAUGUCAUGUAGCGGUGAAAUGCUUAGAUAUGACAUAGAACACCGAUAGCGAAGGCAGCUUGCUACACAGUUAUUGACACUGAGGCACGAAAGCGUGGGGAGCAAACAGGA